rnacentral:rRNA from 1 species
UACGUAGGGUGCAAGCGUUGUCCGGAAUUAUUGGGCGUAAAGAGCUCGUAGGCGGUCUGUCGCGUCGGCUGUGAAAACCCGGAGCUCAACUCCGGGCCUGCAGUCGAUACGGGCAGACUGGAGUUCGGCAGGGGAGACUGGAAUUCCUGGUGUAGCGGUGAAAUGCGCAGAUAUCAGGAGGAACACCGGUGGCGAAGGCGGUUCUCUGGGCCCUACCUGACACUGAGGAGCGAAAGCGUGGGGAGCGAACAGG